UACGUAGGGUGCGAGCGUUGUCCGGAAUUAUUGGGCGUAAAGAGCUCGUAGGCGGCUUGUCGCGUCGGAUGUGAAAGCCCGGGGCUUAACCCCGGGUCUGCAUUCGAUACGGGCAGGCUAGAGUUCGGUAGGGGAGAUCGGAAUUCCUGGUGUAGCGGUGAAAUUCGUAGAUAUUGGGAAGAACACCGGUGGCGAAGGCGGCGCUCUGGACCGAGACUGACGCUGAGGCGCGAAAGCGUGGGGAGCAAACAG
rnacentral:rRNA from 1 species